ACUCCUACGGGAGGCAGCAGUGGGGAAUAUUGCACAAUGGGCGCAAGCCUGAUGCAGCAACGCCGCGUGAGGGACGACGGCCUUCGGGUUGUAAACCUCUUUUAGUAGGGAAGAAGCGAAAGUGACGGUACCUGCAGAAAAAGCACCGGCUAACUACGUGCCAGCAGCCGCGGUAAUACGUAGGGUGCAAGCGUUAUCCGGAAUUAUUGGGCGUAAAGAGCUCGUAGGCGGUUUGUCGCGUCUGCUGUGAAAACUGGAGGCUCAACCUCCAGCCUGCAGUGGGUACGGGCAGACUAGAGUGCGGUAGGGGAGAUUGGAAUUCCUGGUGUAGCGGUGGAAUGCGCAGAUAUCAGGAGGAACACCGAUGGCGAAGGCAGAUCUCUGGGCCGUAACUGACGCUGAGGAGCGAAAGCAUGGGGAGCGAACAGGAUUAGAUACCCUGGUAGUCCAUGCCGUAAACGUUGGGAACUAGAUGUAGGGACCAUUCCACGGUUUCUGUGUCGCAGCUAACGCAUUAAGUUCCCCGCCUGGGGAGUACGGCCGCAAGGCUAAAACUCAAAGGAAUUGACGGGGGCCCGCACAAGCGGCGGAGCAUGCGGAUUAAUUCGAUGCAACGCGAAGAACCUUACCAAGGCUUGACAUAUACCGGAAAAGUUCAGAAAUGUUCUCCCCGCAAGGUCGGUGUACAGGUGGUGCAUGGUUGUCGUCAGCUCGUGUCGUGAGAUGUUGGGUUAAGUCCCGCAACGAGCGCAACCCUCGUUCUAUGUUGCCAGCACGUAAUGGUGGGAACUCAUAGGAGACUGCCGGGGUCAACUCGGA
rnacentral:rRNA from 1 species